UAGACCUUAAGUUAUAUUAAACUAUAAGCCUUCCAAGCUUGAAAAAAGUCAGUCUUAGGUCUAA
rnacentral:tRNA from 1 species